ensembl:snRNA U6 U6 spliceosomal RNA
UUUUUCUAAACAUAAUAUCUAGUGAUCGCUUUGGCAAUGAAUCAGAGAAGAUUAACAUGGCUCCUACACAAGGAUGAGACACAAAUUUAAGUGAUCCAUAUUUUCUUU